rnacentral:misc_RNA from 1 species
AGGCGUUUCUCGUCUUCCGAAAAUCGCACGCACGAAGAGCGAAGCACAGCGCAGAAGAAGAGUGCACGUUCUUUCUCGACGGCAACGAUGUGAACGUGACGCUGACGCCGCCUCCACACGGACAUUACUCUCUAUUCAGAGAAAAUUUGGCUUGCGAGAAUGUUUGGGAUACAAAGUGCACUGAUAAGCGUCUCGUUUUGGCGAUGUCUGAAGAAAAUGACACAUCUACAUCGCUGCUAUUCGACUGGCACGAAACUCCCCGAAUUAACAUCGGUCAGAUACAAGAUCCAACGUGGGCCUUAUAACACGAUCUCGGACGCAGACGUUCGCUUCUUUGAUGCGCUGCUCGGCUCCAAUCGACUUGUCACAGAUCCGGAUGAGUGCGAGAGUUACAACAUUGAUUUCCCUAAGACCGUUAGAGGUGCUAGUCGAUUAGCGUUGAAACCGAAAUCCACUGCUGAAGUGUCGGCCAUAUUAAAGUAUUGCAAUGAGAGGCGAUUAGCAGUUUGCCCGCAAAGUGGUAAUACCGGGCUUGUGGGAGGUAGCAAUCCUGUGUUUGACGAAAUUGUCAUUUCAAUGAAGCUCAUGAACAGAGUCUUGGAUACGAAUGAAUUGGCCGGUAUAUUGACAUGCGAGGCUGGCUGCGUUUUGCAGGACUUGGAGAAUCACUUGAGCACGUUCGGGCUGAUGAUGCCCUUGGACCUUGGAGCUAAAGGUAGCUGCUUGAUUGGCGGUUGCGUUUCCACCAACGCGGGCGGACUGCGACUCCUACGCUACGGUAAUCUUCAUGGAAAUGUCUUGGGAGUUGAAGCGGUGAAGGCCAAUGGUAACGUAGUGGACGCGCUGAAUGUAUUGAAAAAGAACAAUACCGGCUAUCAUUUAAAACAUAUGUUUAUUGGCUCAGAAGGAACACUAGGAAUUGUGACCAAAGUAGCUAUCCAGUGUCCACCCUUACCAAAAGCUGUGAACAUUGCAUUUCUAGGAUUAGCGAGUUUUAAUAAAGUAUUAAAAGCCUAUCAUCUGGCGAAGUACGAGCUCGGUGAGAUACUGUCGUCCUGUGAAAUGAUGGACCGACUGUCUUUGGACGUUUCUAUUAAUAGUUUGAGCAUGAAGAAUCCAUUAACGAGUGAAAAUGGUCACGAAUUCUACAUGCUUAUCGAGACAUCCGGGAAUAAUUUGGUUCACGACGAAGAGAAGCUCUCCUCGUUCGUGGAAAAGGCAAUUAAUGAUCACAUCAUUGAAGAUGGCACUUUGACUAACGAACCGACCAAGUUUAAUAAUAUAUGGGCACUUCGAGAAAGAAUCAGCGAGGGCGUUCUUCGCGAUGGUUACGUCUUCAAGUAUGACAUCUCUCUGCCUUUCUCGUCCUUCUACAAAGUCGUCGAGGUGCUUCGUAACCGAAUACAGGAUCCUCGUAUCGUCAGGAUUAGCGGUUACGGUCAUUUAGGUGACGGGAAUAUACACGUACAAGUUUCCAUACCGGAAUAUUACGCGGACGUGGCCGCGCAGUUGGAGCCAUUCAUCUUCGAGUACGUGUCGCAGUGCCAUGGUAGCAUCAGCGCCGAGCACGGUAUUGGUUUCAAGAAAACGAAAUAUCUCCACUUGAACAAAACAUCCUCCGAGAUCGAGAUGAUGCACGAAUUGAAGAAGCUCAUGGAUCCGAACGGUAUUCUGAAUCCGUACAAGGUCCUGCAGCCGGUUACGGAGACUUGAAACCGUCGUCAGAAUAUAAUUCCUAAAUAAAGAUGAUGUAAAUACUCAAUGUGCCAAGUUAGAUAACGUUACUAGGAGCGACGAGAAAAUUAGCGAACGCGUGUUGAGUGAACGCGGGCGGCAGCGAGAAUCAGCGAGAAUUCUCGAUAAUCGUGCGCAUGCGCGCUGCGCGGUCGAACGGUCUCGAAUGGAGCAGCGAUCAAAUAUAAACCGUCGUACGUGCAGCUGUUGCGCAGUUAGUCGCAAAGUGGAAGCUGCGAGAGAUUGAGAAUUUUGUCAAGUGAUUCCGCAAAACGCUAUUUGAUAUUUAAGAAAUCGUAUUUGAUAUUUUUGUGAAGACGCAAGUGGCUUUGAAGAUAA